GAAGGGGGCUAGCGUUGUUCGGAAUUACUGGGCGUAAAGCGCACGUAGGCAGAUAUUUAAGUCAGGGGUGAAAUCCCAGAGCUCAACUCUGGAACUGCCUUUGAUACUGGGUAUCUUGAGUAUGGAAGAGGUAAGUGGAAUUGCGAGUGUAGAGGUGAAAUUCGUAAAUAUUAGGAGGAACACCAGUGGCGAAGGCGUCUAUCUGGUUCAAAUCUGACGCUGAGGCGCGAAGGCGUGGGGAGCAAACAGGAUUAGAUACCCUGGUAGUCCACGCUGUAAACGAUGAAUGUUAAAUAUGGGGAGUUUACUUUCUGUAUUACAGCUAACGCGUUAAACAUUCCGCCUGGGGACUACGGUCGCAAGAUUAAAACUCACAGGAAUUGACGGGGACCCGCACAAGCGGUGGAGCAUGUGGUUUAAUUCGAUGCAACGCGAAAAACCUUACCACUCCUUGACAUGGAAAUUAUACCUAUUCGAAGGGAUAGGGUCGGUUCGGCCGGGUUUCACACAGGUGU
rnacentral:rRNA from 1 species